rnacentral:lncRNA from 1 species
CAUGAUAGAAUACCAACUAACCAUAAGUAUGAGGAAGCAUUUGAUACUAUGACUCAUUGUUUUUCCUCCUCCAUAGAAUUUGAAGAAUACAAUUUCAUAAGGAUGAAGUCUCGAGGAUCAUUAAAGGGAUGCUACUUCUAUGCCUCUCUCCAUGAGCCUGCAGCUGGAUGUUUCAGCUAAGCUCUCUGCCUGUCAAUCCCCUGAGAUCUACUCCCUGCCUCACCCCCAUGCUCAUGUUACAGGAACGGGUGGAAGGAUAUCUAGCUGAAUUGAAAUUGACAAAACUGGGUAACUCAGACAGGGCAGCCUCCGGAGAGGCCUUUAACCACAAAAGAGGUAUUGAAGUCAAUAUAAUCAAUAGAGUGUUGUGGAUGCAGGAGGAAGAUGAUGAAACCCAUCAAAUUUGAUCACUGGGCAGGAGUGGUCAGUGUCAGCUUCUUAAAGAAGGCUCACUUAAUGUCACCCUCCACUCAAAGCUUUCCACACCUAUGCUAAUACUAUAGGCUGCAUGGCUUGCACUGCCUUGAGCACUCAGGAACCUCUGCAUUGUAGAUGUAUACAUUUCCUGAACUUCUAGGUUUUAGAACUUUCAUUUCAAGUGUCCAUUUCAAUUAGUCAUUACUCACCUCUCUGAAGGCUUGUUCAAUCAUUCAUUAGUUUGUUCUGCUGUAAUUUAUCCAUAGUAACUUUUGGGAAAUCUGACCAGAGGAUCCUUGCCACUUUUCUUCUCAAGAGGUAGAGUCUGUUUCCCCAUCCUAACUCCUGAUGUGUUCUAAAAGUACAAGGCCAUGAUCCUUUAAGUCAUAGCCAAGUUCCAAUGUUGACAGCAGCCAUGAUGGCUAGAGGAGAGAGAAACUCAAGUGAAGUUAGCCGCAAAUACUAACACACUGUGGUUAGCAAACAAAGGAGCUUAAAAUAAACUUUUAAUACAAACGUUUUGGGAGUCAUUUAUUAUGAAAUGCAUGUUAAUGAUCAAAUAGCUUGCAGACAAAUACAGGAAAGCCCUUAGCAGGAGGGAGAGUGAAAUCUCUCCUUCUGAAUCUCUCAGAUUUUCAAGAAGGCCACCAGAAGAGUUUUAAAGAGGUAAUCUUAAAGUCAUCUUGGUAAACAAGUCAUGUUGGAAGGGUCUCAGUUAGUCAAGUGCCUAUUGUAUAAGAAGACAAAAAUUAAGAAUCUACAUAAAAAUCAGGGCACUUGUAUUCCAAGCUUUGGGUAGACAGAGACAGACAGAAACCUACAGCUCUUUGGAUAGCCAGCCUAGUGAACUGGAUGUGUUUCAGGCUCAGUGAGAGAGCAUAUCUCACAAAAUAGUGAUAAAACAUGAUAUAGACCAUUGACAUGGAUUUCUGGUUUGCAGGAUCACAGAGACACAUGUUGACACACCCACAUAUGUGCAUUUAUAUAUCCACCAUAACAAGCACAUGAGUCCCACAUAUACACAAUGAAUCACAUAUGCACACUCCAAAAACUCUCAUUGACUAUCAAAACCAUAACAUGUAGGCAAAACUUGUGGAAACGUUGGGUGACACUUCAAA